GACGAAGGGGGCUAGCGUUGUUCGGAAUACUGGGCGUAAAGCGCGUGUAGGCGGUUGUUCAAGUCAGGUGUGAAAGCCUUGAGCUCAACUCAAGAAAUGCACUUGAUACUGGAUGACUAGAGGACCGGAGAGGAUAGUGGAAUUCCCAGUGUAGUGGUGAAAUGCGUAGAGAUCGGGAGGAACACCAGUGGCGAAGGCGGCUUGCUGGGCCGGACCUGACGCUGAGACGCGAAGGCGUGGGGAGCGAACGGG
rnacentral:rRNA from 1 species